AGCCAAUGUGGUGUAGUGGUUAGAGCGUCAGACUAGGACCUGGACGACCAGGGUUCAAAUCCCCACUUGGCCA